rnacentral:rRNA from 1 species
AAACUUAAAGGAAUUGACGGGGACCCGCACAAGCGGUGGAUGAUGUGGUUUAAUUCGAUGCAACGCGAAAACCUUACCCACCUUUGACAUGUACGGAAUCGCCAGAGAUGGCUUAGUGCUCGAAAGAGAGCCGUAACACAGGUGCUGCAUGGCUGUCGUCAGCUCGUGUCGUGAGAUGUUGGGUUAAGUCCCGCAACGAGCGCAACCCUUGUCAUUAGUUGCUACAUUCAGUUGGGCACUCUAAUGAGACUGCCGGUGACAAACCGGAGGAAGGUGGGGAUGACGUCAAGUCCUCAUGGCCCUUAUAGGUGGGGCUACACACGUCAUACAAUGGCUGGUACAGAGGGUUGCCAACCCGCGAGGGGGAGCUAAUCCCAUAAACCAGUCGUAGUCCGGAUCGCAGUCUGCAACUCGACUGCGUGAAGUCGGAAUCGCUAGUAAUCGCGGAUCAGAAUGUCGCGGUGAAUACGUUCCCGGGUCUUGUACACACCGCCCGUCACACCAUGGGAGCGGGUUCUGCCAGAAGUAGUUAGCCUAACCGCAAGGAGGGCGAUUACCACGGCAGGGUUCGUGACUGGGGUGAAGUCGUAACAAGGUAGCCGUAUCGGAAGGUGCGGCUGGAUCACCUCCUUUCUG